rnacentral:rRNA from 1 species
UACGGAGGGGGCUAGCGUUGCUCGGAAUCACUGGGCGUAAAGCGCACGUAGGCGGCUUUUUAAGUCAGGGGUGAAAUCCUGGAGCUCAACUCCAGAACUGCCUUUGAUACUGGAGAGCUUGAGUCCGGAAGAGGUGAGUGGAACUCUGAGUGUAGAGGUGAAAUUCGUAGAUAUUCGGAAGAACACCAGUGGCGAAGGCGGCUCACUGGUCCGGUACUGACGCUGAGGUGCGAAAGCGUGGGGAGCAAACAGG